AGUGAACGCUGGCGGUAGGCCUAACACAUGCAAGUCGAACGGCAGCACAGUAAGAGCUUGCUCUUACGGGUGGCGAGUGGCGGACGGGUGAGGAAUACAUCGGAAUCUACUUUUUCGUGGGGGAUAACGUAGGGAAACUUACGCUAAUACCGCAUACGACCUACGGGUGAAAGCAGGGGAUCUUCUGACCUUGCGCGAUUGAAUGAGCCGAUGUCGGAUUAGCUAGUUGGCGGGGUAAAGGCCCACCAAGGCGACGAUCCGUAGCUGGUCUGAGAGGAUGAUCAGCCACACUGGAACUGAGACACGGUCCAGACUCCUACGGGAGGCAGCAGUGGGGAAUAUUGGACAAUGGGCGCAAGCCUGAUCCAGCCAUACCGCGUGGGUGAAGAAGGCCUUCGGGUUGUAAAGCCCUUUUGUUGGGAAAGAAAAGCAGCAGGUUAAUACCCCGCUGUUCUGACGGUACCCAAAGAAUAAGCACCGGCUAACUUUGUG
rnacentral:rRNA from 1 species